rnacentral:lncRNA from 1 species
AGGACUUGGGGUCUGCGGCGGGGCGCGCGCGUGCGCCUGCAGAUAGAUCGUGACCAUCCUGUUCCCGCAGCUCUAUUCCCUAGGCCGAGCGUCCCUGCGAACGCAGCACCCAGUACAGGGCCAGGAACACAGUGAAUUGCAAAUUACAGGAGACGGGACAGCGGUUCCCAGCUCCUCACCUUCCAGCCUCCGCAAGUCCCAGGGAAGACUGCGGUGACACUCCCGGUUUACUGUCCCGGCUUGGAGGUCCCCCGGAGCUCUCACUUGGCUCUUUCUAGGGUAAUAGCCCUUACUCAGUGGAUCACAGGCCGCGGUGCAGAUUCCUCAUUUACCGGUCUAUGUUUAUUCCAGUUAUCUGGAUACUCGGGUAAAUAGCACAGGUUAGUUCCGUGACCCUAUUCACCUGCGGGUAAUGCAAAUUUUGCCCACGACUCCUUGAUCACCUGAGCCCAUUACCCCUGAAUUUCCCCAUGGGCCACAGUAGUGAGCAUCAAUUCGGGGUCUAGAAAUCCCUGUAAGGUCUGGGUGUUUUCUUAGUAUACAAUCACUCAAGUAAAGGGCCACAGGUCCCCCCAGGAAACCUUAAAGAACACUUACAGCAUGCAGUAAGGUCUUUUCUCAAGGGGAUCUGGACUCUUUCAAUCAAGUGAGUUGUUUUUUUUAAUACUUUCUUUUAGUUGUGUAUGAACUCAAUGUCUUUAUUUGUCUUUAUGUGGUGCUAGGAUGGAACCCAGUGCCUCAUACUUGUGAGACAAGUGCUCUACCAGUGAACCACAACUCUAGCCCCAAGAAAUGCCUUUUUUAAAAAAAUAUUUUUUAGUUGUUGAUAGACCUUUUAUUUAUUUAUUUAUUUAUUUAUUUAUUUAUUUAUUUAUUUAUAUGUGGUACUGAGAAUCGAACCCAGUGCCUCACACAUGCCAGGCAAGUGCGCUACUGCUGAGCCACAGCCCCACCCCUCAAGUGGCUUCAGGUCUGGAAACUGGGUGGCAGGCAUGAACUCCAGUCAGGCUUUUGGCCAUCAGGUUUGGAUGACGUGCUGUGGAUGUGGACUAGCUCUGGCCUGGACAACCCUCGAACCACUCCAUUCUCCACCCCUUCUUGGACAUGUCUGACCCUGAGCCUUGGAACAGAAGGGGGCUCCCUUUCCAAGGCCGUCCUUCCUUGAGAGAUCCCCCUCCAUCUGUGGCACCCUUUAGAGUUCUCUUUACUUCUUCAUAGUUGCCUCCCAUCAGCUUAACAAGUCUUUGUUAUACCUCCCUCAUUGUGUGGUUUGUCUCCUGAAUGGACCUAGACUGAUAUGAUGAGAUUAAACAUUAAAUUCAG